rnacentral:lncRNA from 1 species
CAGUACCAGUGUUGGGUGUGAGUCAGAUUGCCUCUAGAACCCAAAGAAAUCUACCAGGUGUUAUGCUUCCUUCUUUGUGCCAGGAGAUGUAAGAUGUAGCGUCUUUUACUUUAGAGUUGUCCUGGCUUGUCCCUGGUCAGUGAACUCAAAAACUUCCUGAAGUGGCAAGUCCCUGAAGCUACAUGAAGUUUUAUCUCCCACUUUCUGACGUUUGCAUGCCUUAUUAAGGCCUCCAGGAUACAAACCAACUUUUGUUGUCCUGCCAGAUCAACAUCAUACCACUAAUGCUUUGGAUCAAUGUGAUGAUAUAGACUCUUUGAACUCUGUUGUGACAGAAUAUGGAGAGUUAACAUAGCCCUGGAGCAAAACAGUAAGUGAAUCUUGUUGUCCCUUCCAUGUCAAUGUGAACAAUUUCUUCCUUCCUUCCUUUCUCCCUUCCUCUUUCUUUUUUUCCCUUUCUUUCUUUCUUUCGUUUUCUUUCUCUCUCUCUCUCUUCCUUCCUUCCUUCCUUCAUUCUUCCCUUCCUUUUUAAACUGUUGCACCUGCGGUACAUGGAAGUUCCCAGACUAGGAGUAGAAUCAGAAUUGAAGCUGCCGGCCUACACCACAGCCACAACAACCCUGGCUCCUUAACCCACUGAGCAAGGCCGGGGAUCAAACCUGCAUCCUCACAGACACUAUGUUGAGUUCUUAAUCUGCUGAACCACAAUGGGCACUCUGAUGUGAAGAAUGCAAUCCUCAAAUCAGUGGCCGUGCAUCAUACAAUUGAGGUCUUCCUGAUUUGUUUUACCAUCAAAAAGUCUGGCACAGCAACUGCUGUAGAGUCACUACUUGGUUGAGCUUGUGGAAAUCUGUAGUCAUACUCCAGGACCCAUGUGGCUUCUGUAGGUGUCAGAUGGGUGAAUUAAAUGGAGAUAAGGUAAGGACUUUCACCAUGCAUCCUUUAAAUCUUUAAUGGUGGUUGAAUUGUUCACAGUUUUGCGGAAUAACAGAACCAAAAGGAGAUUGAUAGAUUGAUAGAUUGAUAAACAGACAGGUAGAUGGAUGGAUGGAUAUAUAGUAGAUAGACAAUUUAAAUAAAUAUAUUAAUACAUUUUUAAUCAAUAACUUUUAAAUUUAUUUUUUAUUCUUAUUUCCCUCGACACACUUUUUUUUUCCCCACUGUACAGCAUGGGGACCCAGUUACACAUACCUGUAUACAUAAUUUUUCUCCCAUUGUUGUUUGCUGCAUUGUAAGUACCUAGACAUAGUUCUCAGUACUACACAGCAGGAUCUCAUUGUUAAUCCAUUCCAAGAGCAAUAGUUUGCAUCCGUUAACCUCAAGCUCCCAAUCCCUCCCCCUCCCCCCAGGCAACCACAAGUGUAUUCUCCAAGUCCAUUGAUUUUCUUUUCUGUGGAAACGUUCAUUUGUGCUGUAUAUUAGAUAGCAGAUAUCACAUGGUAUCUGUCUUUCUCUUUCUGACUUAUUUCACUCAGGAUGAGAGUCUCUAGUUCCAUCCAUGUUGCUGCAAAUGGCAUUAUUUCAUUCUUUUUUAUGGCCGAGUAGUGUUCCAUUGUGUAUAUAUACCACAUCUUCCUAAUCCAGGUGUCUUUUUUGUUUGUUUGUUUGUUUGUUGUCUUUUUGCUUUUGCUAGGGCUGCUCCCAUGGCAUAUGGAGAUUCCCAGGCUAGGGGUCUAAUCAGAGCUGUAGCCACCAGCCUACGCCAGAGCUACCGAAACGCAGGAUCUGAGCCUCCUCUGUGACCUACACCACAGCUCACGGCAAGGCCAGAUCCUUAAUCCACUGAGCAAGGCCAGGGAUUGAACCCGCACCCUCAUGGUUCCUUCUCGUUAACCACUGAGCCACGAGGGGAACUCCUCCAGGCAUCUGUUAAUGGACAUUUGGGUUGUUUCCAUGUCUUAGCUAUUGUGAAUAGAGCUGCAAUGAACGUGCAGGUGCAUGUGUCUUUUUUAAGGAAAGUUUUGUCUGGAUAUAUGUCCAAGAAUAAUUUUUUUUAAUUUAAAGAGCUUUCUUUGGCUCAUGGGAUUCUGGAGGCUUGGGAAUCCAAAAUCUGAUGGAGGAGACCAGCAGGCUGAAGAAUCAGGACUGAGUUGCAGUUCUAGUCCAAAGACAAUCUGCUGACAAACCAGGAAGAGCAGAUGUUGCAAGUGAGGUCCAAAGGCAGUCUACUGACAUAAAUUCCCCUUUGCUCAGAAGAGAUCAGAUUUUUGUUCUCUCAGUUUUCAAUUGAUUCCAUGAAGCUCAUCCACCUUAUGGAGGGCACUCUACUUUGCUUAAGUCUCUUGGUUUAAAUCAAGAUCACAUCCAAAAAUACCCUCACAGAAAUAUCCAGAAUGAUGUUUGACCAAAUAUCCAGGCACCACAGCCCAGUCAAGUUGACACAUAAAGCUAACCAUCACAGUGGUUCUAAUAUCUGCCUUCAUUUCUGGAAUACAGUAUUUUUUUUUUUUAAGAGCCACGCAUGGGGCGUAUGGACGUUCCCAGGCUAGGGGUCAAAUCGGAGCUGUAGCCGCUGGCCUACACCACAGCCACAGCAACAUGGGCUCCGAGCCACAGCUUGGGGCAAUGCUGGAUCUUAACCCACUGACCAAGGCCAGGGAUCAAACCCAUAUCUUCACCGAGAUUAUGCCGGGUUCUUAACUUGCUGAGCCAUAAAGGGAACUCUGCAAUAUUAUUUUUUAUCUCAGUUUGGGAAAGCGGUAGUUUCAGAGGCUUCCUUUUGGCAUUUCCCCAACAUGAUGGUUCUUACUCUUCUAGCCAAGGACUUAAGUGAGUCCAACUGCCGUGAACGUUAAUCCUAAUUUUUCACUAAGAACCACUGAAUUGAUCACCACCUGAGUUCAGGGACCCAGUGGGCCCACUGUAAGCUGCCUAUGCUCCUGGGUCCCAGCUCUGAUGUGAGGAUGCUGUAGAUUCUCAGGUAUCAAUGCCAGCUUUGAAAGGAUGUCUGAAGUCCUCAAUACUUGUAAUUUCUUUUCCCAGUGUAUAGCCAUCUAAGCCAAUGGCUGUAGGUCACAGUUAAUAUUUGUCACAGCCUUGCAGGGUUCUUCCGCCACAGCCAUCUCUCAGUCACUGUGCUCUGGGUCUGAAAAUUGCCUCAGGUCCAAUAACUGAGCAGUGAAUCAUACAUUCUUAUUGGGGCCACUACCCUUAUCCUCCUAUUUCUCCAUUCCUGCCUGUUUCUGAUUAUAGAUGUUAAAUGGUACUCUCAUCAGUUACCCUUCUAUUUUGCCCAUAGGGACGCCAGAUGCUAUUUGCCAUUUCCAUAACUUCCUGUGGGCCAGGCCCCCUUAACCGCCCGCUAUUCCAGUCUUGCUGGUAGUUCUAGUGAUGGUUGCCCCCUGGCUUCCAUUUACUUGCUUAUGUGGCUUCUACCACUUUGGCGUGUGCUGUAAAUGAGUUCACUUCCUCUCUGGCCUGCAAGAAGAGCCACCCCUGGACUUUUCAGGGUGCUGGUGCCUCUCUCACCAGUGCAUCCCUGAUGGCCUUGGAGAACGCUCUGUUCUCUGGGCUCUGCUGUGAAAACCUAACUUCUGAUGGGUCCUCUAGUCUCACACUAUGAGUCCAUUCCAGCUUAUCCCUUCUCACUGCCUUUUUAUUCCUCCCCUCCCAUCUGCCAUGGCCACUCAGGCACUUGCAUUCAGCAUGGGUCAUCACCGUUUCCAGGCUUCCAAGAGCCCGGCUUUUCUACACUGAGUUUGCCCCAUCCCCUGGGCAGGGGCGUGUCCUUGUUACAGUGUUAAAUCCCAUUUCCCAAGAACAUGUUCCAAGUCAAACCAUCUCUCUCUCACACUGUGCCUGUUUCUGUCUCAUUACUUCUCAACAUCUCAUCAUUGCUCCGUAGGGUAUCAAUAGAACUUGGAGAUAACCAGCCCACACCACUAUACUUAUAGGCAUUAUUCGCCCCAUGUCUUUCAAAUAUCUACAUCUUCAAACUAGCAAAGCUGUUCCCCUCUCCCAGGACACAUUCCCAGGUCAUCCCCAGUGAAAGCUUCAGCGGAUGUGGAGCCUCCUCGGGCCAAGCUCUACCCAUUUCCCACGUUCCACUCAGGCGGAGGUCCUACUCCAGCCAAGCAUAAAUGAACAGUCCUCAAACCAGUUUCACUGCCUGCUUUCUUAGGCCAUUCUCUACCGACCGUGUCAGUUGGGCUUCCUGGGUAGUGGACACCAAGCCAAAAGUAGAUGAGCAAAAGCUGUAUUGGGGAAAUACUUGUGAAGGAUGAAGAGGAGGGGGAACAAGACUAGGUGGGAGGAAAUUGGAACCACAAAACAGGUAAGAAUUUGUGAAAGGAGAGGGGGAAGGAGGGAAGAUGGGAUCGGAAGAGCCCCAGGCUGCAGUGUGGCUCUGAGAAAAUCUUGGCCAGGCAUUUGGGGAUUCUGGGGCAAAGACUGCCCACUGGAAGAAUCUUGUGUGAGGCUGAAGAAGCCCAGCUAGAGUACGCCAUUGUGUUUAAUUGUUGGCAAGGAGCUUCCUGGGAGGGAGAAUGGCCUCAAUCCGAAGGCUGCAGACCUGGAGGUACAGUGGCUAGCUGGAGGUUGCCAGCCAACUAGAGUUCACCCACUACCUGAAGGGAGAUCUGAGUGGCCCACCUCCACGGUCAAGUCUAACUGGCAGGAGCAGGAAGAAAAGAAGCCGGGGACGGGAGACCACGUGGAAAAUAGAGCAGGAGCCUGCCAAGGAGCUCUGUGGAUAAUAAGCAUGGGCAUGUGCAAAUUUUACCUUUGCUUCUGUGUGUGUGUGUGUGUGGUGGGCUGGGUUAUGUUACCACAGGUGUGAAUGGGUCCAUGCAAGUAUGUGGGCUGCCAUGAGAUAUGAGCCUUGACAGAGAAGG